UGAGUAACACGUAUCCAGCCUGCCGUCUACUCUUGGACAGCCUUCUGAAAGGAAGAUUAAUACAAGAUGGCAUCAUGAGUCCGCAUGUUCACAUGAUUAAAGGUAUUCCGGUAGACGAUGGGGAUGCGUUCCAUUAGAUAGUAGGCGGGGUAACGGGCCCACCUAGUCUUCGAUGGAUAGGGGUUCUGAGAGGAAGGUCCCCCACAUUGGAACUGAGACACGGUCCAAACUCCUACGGGAGGCAGCAUG
rnacentral:rRNA from 1 species